GUGAGGAAUAUUGGUCAAUGGACGGAAGUCUGAACCAGCCAUGCUGCGUGAAGGAUGAAGGCGUUCUGCGUUGUAAACUUCUUUUAUCAGAGAAGAAACCACUGAUUUCUAUUAGUGUUGACGGUAUCUGAUGAAUAAGCACCGGCUAACUCCGUGCCAGCAGCCGCGGUAAUACGGAGGGUGCAAGCGUUAUCCGGAUUUACUGGGUUUAAAGGGUGUGUAGGCGGGCUAUUAAGUCAGGGGUGAAAUCCCGGGGCUCAACCUCGGAACUGCCUUUGAUACUAUUAGUCUUGAAUUAUGUUGAGGUUGGCGGAAUAUAACAUGUAGCGGUGAAAUGCAUAGAUAUGUUAUAGAACACCGAUUGCGAAGGCAGCUGGCUAAACAUAUAUUGACGCUGAGGCACGAAAGCGUGGGUAGCGAACAGGAUUAGAUACCCGUGUAGUCC
rnacentral:rRNA from 1 species